AUAAAAGAGAUGAAAGGUUAAAAAUCUGAUUUCUGUCACAAUUAUUCCCAAGCUGUUAUGAAUGUAGAAUUAUUUUUAAGAUUUUCAAAAGAAAUUGCUUGAUCUCAGAUUGUUUUGUUAAAUCUAUUUUUUUUUUUGUCUGUGCUCUAGCAACAUGUACGUGUACCGUGUGUACUGAAUCUAUGAUUGUUAUGUUAAGGAUUAUUUAAAUUUUCAUGGGUUUGCAGACUCGGACCAAUGAAACAAAAAACAACAAAGCUUAACCCUGAUGUCACAAUUCAGUGUAAUGAUUUUGACUUUUUGCUUUUGGUGGUACAUGUAUAAUUUUAUUUCUCAGUGGAAACUUUUCUGUAGGAACAGUGUAUGUGUUUAUUGGUGUAUAAAUUACAGAUUGUUAGUGAUUGUAACUUGUUUCGUGUGGGGAUUUUUUUCUCUUGUUGAUCAUUCUCUCAAACGUCAUGAUGCUGAAUCGACAGGUAGACAUUUUUAUUUUAAUAUACAAUUAACAAGUAGAAACUUUUGCAAUAAACUCAUUGCAACU
rnacentral:sRNA from 1 species